rnacentral:rRNA from 3 species
GACUGCGGAGGGAUCAUUAC